rnacentral:lncRNA from 1 species
AUUCCAGGCUCUGUGAACUAAGUGACAGAAGCUGAUUAACACAGUACCUGGUCAAGGGAACUUCAAGGAAGAAAGCCAGCCUUAGACUGACACCAGAGAACCAAACUCCAGGGUCUAAGCUCAAGAGGUUAGAAUCCUGAGAACUGUUUGGAAUAAGGAAUCCAACUAUUGUCCUCCAGCUUCACCUUGCCAAGACAGUCCUUUCGAGGGACAGCUGAGCAUCCCCAUUUAUGCCGUGUACAUGCAGUACCAACAGAGGCCAGAGGAGGGUAUCGGAUCUCCUGGAACUGGAGUCACAGAUUCCUUCUUGCGUGGAUGAGACAGUCCCAUCGAACACCUUACAAAGACAAAUGUUCCCGACAGCACUGGUUGAGUUUAAAACUCAACAGAUCUAUGUUCUUAUCCUUAGACAAGAGAGGGGCCAUAACAAGACAGGAUAGGUGAACAGAUGUGAGAGACGAUGGUACAGUGACUCGGGUAACCUCAGAAAAGGGACAGCUCUUCUACAGCUCUGUGGGGACAGGGACAAAAGGAAACAAUUUUAUUUCAGUCCACCCAGAGGGUCUGCAUUUCUGGGAUCCAGAAGUAGGGAUGGAGGAAGUUUGAAAAGUUUGAGGAAUCCGCUCCUGGGGCUCCCCAGGUACGAGGACAAGCUUUUCCUGUACUCAGUGUUCAUCUCUUGGGUGUGCCCACAUUGGUACACAUCAAUUGCUUUAGUCUGCUGCUGCUGUUUCCAAAUUCAAUAAAGAAAGAUAUGGCUGGCUCAGCAGAGAGCUGUCAUCCAUCCCUCUGUGUGUUGAACCUUCAAGGCAGAACCCAGUUUCUGUGUCACAUCGCAGGCUCAACCAUUUGGGCUGGAGGUGAAGGGCAGACCAAAGAUG